rnacentral:rRNA from 1 species
UACGUAGGGUGCGAGCGUUGCCCGGAUUUCUUGGGCGUAAAGGGCUCGUAGGCGGUUUGUCACGUCGGGCGUGAAAACUCAGGGCUUAACCCUGAGCGUGCGUUCGAUACGGGCAGACUAGAGGUAUGCAGGGGAGAACGGAAUUCCUGGUGUAGCGGUGGGAUGCGCAGAUAUCAGGAGGAACACCGGUGGCGAAGGCGGUUCUCUGGGCAUUACCUGACGCUGAGGAGCGAAAGCAUGGGGAGCGAACAGG